rnacentral:rRNA from 1 species
ACGGGAGACACACGGCGGGUGCUAACGUCCGUCGUGAAGAGGGAAACAACCCAGACCGCCAGCUAAGGUCCCAAAGUCAUGGUUAAGUGGGAAACGAUGUGGGAAGGCCCAGACAGCCAGGAUGUUGGCUUAGAAGCAGCCAUCAUUUAAAGAAAGCGUAAUAGCUCACUGGUCGAGUCGGCCUGCGCGGAAGAUGUAACGGGGCUAAACCAUGCACCGAAGCUGCGGCAGCGACGCUGAUGCGUUGUUGGGUAGGGGAGCGUUCUGUAAGCCUGCGAAGGUGACCUGUGAGGGUUGCUGGAGGUAUCAGAAGUGCGAAUGCUGACAUAAGUAACGAUAAAGCGGGUGAAAAGCCCGCUCGCCGGAAGACCAAGGGUUCCUGUCCAACGUUAAUCGGGGCAGGGUGAGUCGACCCCUAAGGCGAGGCCGAAAGGCGUAGUCGAUGGGAAACGGGUUAAUAUUCCCGUACUUGGUGUUACUGCGAAGGGGGGACGGAGAAGGCUAUGUUGGCCGGGCGACGGUUGUCCCGGUUUAAGCGUGUAGGUGUGUGUUCCAGGUAAAUCCGGUUCACUUUAACACUGAGGCGUGACGACGAGGCACUACGGUGCUGAAGCAACAAAUGCCCUGCUUCCAGGAAAAGCCUCUAAGCAUCAGGUAACACGAAAUCGUACCCCAAACCGACACAGGUGGUCAGGUAGAGAAUACCAAGGCGCUUGAGAGAACUCGGGUGAAGGAACUAGGCAAAAUGGUGCCGUAACUUCGGGAGAAGGCACGCUGACACGUAGGUGAAGUGAUUUACUCAUGGAGCUGAAGUCAGUCGAAGAUACCAGCUGGCUGCAACUGUUUAUUAAAAACACAGCACUGUGCAAACACGAAAGUGGACGUAUACGGUGUGACGCCUGCCCGGUGCCGGAAGGUUAAUUGAUGGGGUCAGCGCAAGCGAAGCUCCUGAUCGAAGCCCCGGUAAACGGCGGCCGUAACUAUAACGGUCCUAAGGUAGCGAAAUUCCUUGUCGGGUAAGUUCCGACCUGCACGAAUGGCGUAAUGAUGGCC